AUUCUUUGAAAUUUGCCCUAUAACUACUUGUUAAAUUGUACUUUGUAGGUUAUCACUUUUCUUUAUGUAUAUCUCACAAUAAAAAAAUAUAAAAAAAGACAGGUUUUAGGUUAUGAGUAUAAUUGCUCUAGAUGAUGUAAUUAGAGAUGAUCUAAUUAUUAAGCAUGUGCAGAUUGAUUACAUGCUUAAUCAAAGAACAUAUGUAAGAAAAUGGUGGCCUUAAUAUGAUGAUGGAUGUGAUUUUUAGUAUUAUAAUGAGGUGUAGGCCACUUAUGGGUUAAAGUUUAAGUUACUGCAUCUACCAGGCCAAUUUUGGUUAUAUCCAGCUUCCUCUAGUAAGAUAGUUUUGGAGUUGGGGUGCAUUAGUUCUGGGCUUACUAGAGUUCCUUCAUUAACAAACACUGGGGGUUGUCUUUGUGAUCAUAAGCUCUAAAGUUUUAAAUCAGGAUAAGGGGUACAAGCGGGGGCCAGUCAUAAGGUUUUUACUUUCCCAAGAUAAAGGUUAUAUAGUUAUACAAUCAUUAUCAAAGGUCAAGGCAUCUGGAUCUCAGUUCAGUGGGUUUCAGUAAUUUUGGGUAUUUCCUUUUGGCUAUUCUACAAUAUACUAGAAAGUAAGAAAAAGGCAUCUAAUAAUUCAGCCAUCCUAAUUAUUUUUAAUUCUUAAUUUCUUGGUUACAACUGCAUCACUUCCACCAUGCUGCAAUGGAGAGAGCAGUCACAGCCCCAAAAAGAUUCGAGGGGAGGAAACAGGGACUUCCCCAUGGAGUGUUGGUCAGUGAUUCCUGCCCUCUGGACCACCAGCUGAGAAACACAAAGCUGCAAGCUGCGUUGGAAGGCCUCGGAAGCUGGGUGGUCUGCUGUAAUCACUCAGCCAGAUCCGGCUUGACAGCACUAUUCAUGCCUGUGCCCCAGCAAAACAGUGAGUUCCCACAUGUGAGGGGUCGUCAUGGACAACUGAAAUGAGAAGCGUUAAAUUUGCAGAUGCCAUGUGUUUACUGCACUGAAUAUCCAUAUCAAGGAAACAUGGGCAAGCAAUAAAGCCAUGUGCCACAUUA